GGAUUGUAGCUCAGUGGUAGGCACUUGCCUAGCAUGCAUGAGGCCCUGGGUUCGACCCUUAGCACCA
rnacentral:tRNA from 1 species